GCGAAAGUAGUUUAAAAAAAACGUUAGAUUUUUAAUCUAAAGUUGUGGAUGGCGCCUUUCGUA
rnacentral:tRNA from 1 species